rnacentral:rRNA from 1 species
AGUGAACGCUGGCGGCAGGCCUAACACAUGCAAGUCGAACGGCAGCACGGCAGUAGCAAUACUGUGGGUGGCGAGUGGCGGACGGGUGAGGAAUACAUCGGGAUCUACCCUGUUGUGGGGGAUAACGUAGGGAAACUUACGCUAAUACCGCAUAAGAACUGAGGUUGAAAGCGGCGGACCGCAAGGCGUCGCGCGAUUGGAUGAACCGAUGUCCGAUUAGCUAGUUGCGGGGUAAAGCCCACCAAGGCGACGAUCGGUAGCUGGUCUGAGAGGACGACCAGCCACACUGGAACUGAGACACGGUCCAGGACUCCUACGGGAGGCAGGC